GGAUUGAACGCUGGCGGCAUGCCUUACACAUGCAAGUCGAACGGCAGCACGGGGGCAACCCUGGUGGCGAGUGGCGAACGGGUGAGUAAUAUAUCGGAACGUGCCCUGGAGUGGGGGAUAACGCAGCGAAAGUUGCGCUAAUACCGCAUACGAUCUCAGGAUGAAAGUGGGGGAUUCGCAAGAACCUCAUGCUCCUGGAGCGGCCGAUAUCUGAUUAGCUAGUUGGUAGGGUAAAGCCUACCAAGGCAUCGAUCAGUAGCUGGUCUGAGAGGACGACCAGCCACACUGGGACUGAGACACAGCCCAGACUCCUACGGGAGCAGCAGUGGGAAUUUUGGACAAUGGCGCAAGCCUGAUCAGCAAUGCCGCGUGAGUGAAGAAGGCCUGGUUGUAAAGCUCUUUGUCUAGGAAGAAACGGUCUUUACUAACUAUAGUAGGACUAAGUGACGGUACCUAGAACGAAUAAGCGACCGGAC
rnacentral:rRNA from 1 species